GAUGAACGCUGACAGAAUGCUUAACACAUGCAAGUCAACUUGAACUUCGGUUUGGGUGGCGGACGGGUGAGUAACGCGUAAAGAACUUGCCUCACAGAUAGGGACAACAUUUGGAAACGAAUGCUAAUACCUGAUAUUAUGAUUUUAGGGCAUCCUAGGAUUAUGAAAGCUAUAUGCGCUGUGAGAGAGCUUUGCGUCCCAUUAGCUAGUUGGAGAGGUAACGGCUCACCAAGGCGAUGAUGGGUAGCCGGCCUGAGAGGGUGAUCGGCCACAAGGGGACUGAGACACGGCCCUUACUCCUACGGGAGGCAGCAGUGGGGAAUAUUGGACAAUGGACCAAGAGUCUGAUCCAGCAAUUCUGUGUGCACGAUGAAGUUUUUCGGAAUGUAAAGUGCUUUCAGUUGGGAAGAAAAAAAUGACGGUACCAACAGAAGAAGUGACGGCUAAAUACGUGCCAGCAGCCGCGGUAAUACGUAUGUCACAAGCGUUAUCCGGAUUUAUUGGGCGUAAAGCGCGUCUAGGUGGUUAUGUAAGUCUGAUGUGAAAAUGCAGGGCUCAACUCUGUAUUGCGUUGGAAACUGUGUAACUAGCGUACUGGAGAGGUAAGCGGAACUACAAGUGUAGAGGUGAAAUUCGUAGAUAUUUGUAGGAAUGCCGAUGGGGAAGCCAGCUUACUGGACAGAUACUGACGCUGAAGCGCGAAAGCGUGGGUAGCAAACAGG
rnacentral:rRNA from 1 species